rnacentral:rRNA from 1 species
GAUCCUGGCUCAGGAUGAACGCUAGCUACAGGCUUAACACAUGCAAGUCGAGGGGCGAGCAUGGUCUUAGCUUGCUAAGGCCGAUGGCGACCGGCGCACGGGUGAGUAACACGUAUCCAACCUGCCGUCUACUCUUGGACAGCCUUCUGAAAGGAAGAUUAAUACAAGAUGGCAUCAUGAGUCCGCAUGUUCACAUGAUUAAAGGUACUCCGGUAGACGGAUGGGGA